rnacentral:rRNA from 1 species
CUACGGGAGGCUGCAGUGAGGAAUAUUGCACAAUGGGGGGAACCCUGAUGCAGCAACGCCGCGUGGAGGAUGACGCAUUUCGGUGUGUAAACUCCUUUUAUAUGUCAAGAAAAUGAUGGUAGCAUAUGAAUAAGCACCGGCUAACUCCGUGCCAGCAGCCGCGGUAAUACGGAGGGUGCAAGCGUUACUCGGAAUCACUGGGCGUAAAGGACGCGUAGGCGGGUUGGAAAGUCAGGUGUGAAAUCCUACAGCUUAACUGUAGAACUGCACUUGAAACUUCUAAUCUAGAGUAUGGGAGGGGGAGAUGGAAUUAGUGGUGUAGGGGUAAAAUCCGUAGAUAUCACUAGGAAUACCUAAAGCGAAGGCGAUCUCCUGGAACAUUACUGACGCUAAGGCGUGGAAGCGUGGGGAGCAAACAGGAUUAGAUACCCUCGUAGUC